AGUUGAGUGGGUAGUGUGCUUGCACCAUCAAAAGUGGCUCCUUUGUGUAAUAUAUUAAUGCCUGUGUUGUUUACUUUUGAGAAAGGAAAUCCUCUCCUCCAAGGGGGCUAUAAAUCCUCUACAACUCUAACCUUGGCUUCUCAUCACUUCUCUUUCCCUUUACCUCUCUCUCUCUCUCUCUUCAGGAACUAGAUCUUGUAAGGGUUUGUAGAUCAAGUGGCCUUUCUUUUUCUCCAUGGAGGAGAGUCUUGUGGAGCUCAAUCGUCAAGAGAGGAAGAGAUGUGAAGUGGCCCUUUUCACUCCCUUCCUCCGGGUAAGGGAGUGAGUUUCCUGCUUCCCAAUAGAGAACCAGAGGUGAUGGUGGGGAGAAUACAGGAAUCAAGGGGCCUGUGUCCAAACUCUUGUGAGAGAGAGAGAGAGAGAGAGGUUUCAGAUAACUAUGAUCCUAGAGAGAGAGAGAGAGAGAGAGAGAGAGAGAGAGAGAGGUUUCAGAUAACUAUGAUCCUUUGUCUUUUAUUUGAUUCCUUUACUUGUGAGCGAUAUUUUUAUGAUGACCACCCAAUUUCCUCGUGGUGUUUUGUUUAUUACUACAAAUCACCAGUGAUACAGAAGUGGAAUAUAGCUUUUGCAUUGAUAUAUAUGUGGAUGAGACCGAAGAUUCUACGACA